rnacentral:lncRNA from 1 species
GCCCUCCACCACUCAGCCCGGCUUGAAAACCCCACCUGCUCACUUCUCCACCCAAACCCAAUCCAAAAUCUUUCCCUCCCUCCCAUCCUUUCUUCCCCUCCGCCUCCGCCUCCGCCUCUGCGGCCGCCGGUGACGCGCCAGGCGCUAGCUAGCCAUGUCGUGCUCCCACCUCUCCACCGCGUGGUCCUCCUCCGCGCUUGCCAGCACCUCCACACGCCGCCGCGCCUCCACCGGCAGCAGCAGCCUGGUGGUGCGGUGCUCCCUCCGGGACCUCCGCAACCGCAUCGACUCUGUCCGCAACACGCAGAAGAUCACGGAGGCGAUGAAGCUGGUGGCCGCUGCCAAGGUCCGUCGCGCGCAGGAGGCCGUGGUCUCCUCUCGCCCCUUCUCGGAGGCUCUGGUGGAGGUGCUCUACAACAUGAACCAGGAGAUCCAGUCGGAGGACAUCGACCUGCCCCUCACCCGCCAGCGCGCCGUCAAGCGCGUCGCGAUCGUCGUCCUCACCGGCGAGCGUGGUC